UACGUAGGUGGCAAGCGUUUGUCCGAUUUACUGGGCGUAAAGAGCGCGCAGGCGGUCAUUCAAGUCGAGUGUGAAAGCCCCCCGGCUCAACUGGGGAGGGUCACUCGAUACUGAACGACUCGAAGGCGGGAGAGGGAAGCGGAAUUCCUGGUGUAGCGGUGAAAUGCGUAGAUAUCAGGAAGAACAUCGAUGGCGAAGGCAGCCUUCUGGGCCAUUACUGACGCUGAGGCUCGAAAGCGUGGGGAGCGAAUAGG
rnacentral:rRNA from 1 species